UACGUAGGGUGCGAGCGUUGUCCGGAAUUACUGGGCGUAAAGAGCUCGUAGGUGGUUUGUCGCGUUGUUCGUGAAAACCGGGGGCUUAACCCUCGGCGUGCGGGCGAUACGGGCAGACUUGAGUACUGCAGGGGAGACUGGAAUUCCUGGUGUAGCGGUGGAAUGCGCAGAUAUCAGGAGGAACACCGGUGGCGAAGGCGGGUCUCUGGGCAGUAACUGACGCUGAGGAGCGAAAGCGUGGGGAGUGAACAGG
rnacentral:rRNA from 1 species